AUAUGAGAUAUAAUAGGGCUAAAACUCUUAACCCGGCUUAAGCAUUUUGGGUGGUGGCAAGACCCAAGAGGUUAAGAGAGUUAAGCGUGCUAGGACGGGAGUAGUCCUAGGAUGGGUGACCCCCUGGGAAGUUGGGGCGUCACAGAUG
rnacentral:rRNA from 1 species